GAUGAACGCUGGCGGCGUGCUUAACACAUGCAAGUCGAACGAUGAACCGGGUGCUUGCACUCGGGGAUUAGUGGCGAACGGGUGAGUAACACGUGAGCAACCUGCCCCUGACUCUGGGAUAAGCGCUGGAAACGGCGUCUAAUACUGGAUAUGUCCCGUCACCGCAUGGUGUGCGGGUGGAAAGAUUUUUCGGUUGGGGAUGGGCUCGCGGCCUAUCAGCUUGUUGGUGAGGUAAUGGCUCACCAAGGCGUCGACGGGUAGCCGGCCUGAGAGGGUGACCGGCCACACUGGGACUGAGACACGGCCCAGACUCCUACGGGAGGCAGCAGUGGGGAAUAUUGCACAAUGGGCGCAAGCCUGAUGCAGCGACGCCGCGUGAGGGAUGACGGCCUUCGGGUUGUAAACCUCUUUCAGCACCGACGAAGCGCAAGUGACGGUAGGUGCAGAAGAAGGAUCGGCCAACUACGUGCCAGCCGCCGCAGUAA
rnacentral:rRNA from 1 species